rnacentral:lncRNA from 1 species
UUGCCCAUACCCUUUUCAUGUUUGAAGAGGUAACAUACCAAGCUAUGCUGAGUUGGGUUUACUUUCUUUAGUUUGUGAGAGUGAAGCCAAGGUUCUUCCUUUGAAUAAAUAGGAAAAGGUGAUGAACUCCUUCAAUGCAUUGCUGCGGAAAAGGAAUAAUUCUUCUCCCAUUUUCAAAAUAAGACAAGAAAAUUCUAGGAAUAGUAGAGCAU